ACGGGAGGCAGCAGUCGGGAAUAUUGCGCAAUGGAGGAAACUCUGACGCAGUGACGCCGCGUAUAGGAAGAAGGUUUUCGGAUUGUAAACUAUUGUCAUUAGGGAAGAUAAAAGACUGUACCUAAAGAGGAAGCUCCGGCUAACUACGUGCCAGCAGCCGCGGUAAUACGUAGGGAGCAAGCGUUAUCCGGAUUUAUUGGGUGUAAAGGGUGCGUAGACGGGAAAACAAGUUAGUUGUGAAAUCCCUCGGCUUAACUGAGGAACUGCAACUAAAACUAUUUUUCUUGAGUGUCGGAGAGGAAAGUGGAAUUCCUAGUGUAGCGGUGAAAUGCGUAGAUAUUAGGAGGAACACCGGUGGCGAAGGCGGCCUGCUGGACUGUAACUGACGCUGAGGCUCGAAGGCGUGGGGAGCAAACAGGAUUAGAUACCCUGGUA
rnacentral:rRNA from 1 species